rnacentral:rRNA from 1 species
GUGUCAGCAGCCGCGGUAAUACGGAGGGUGCAAGCGUUAUCCGGAUUCACUGGGUUUAAAGGGUGCGUAGGAGGGUAGGUAAGUCAGUGGUGAAAUCCCCGAGCUUAACUUGGGAACUGCCGUUGAUACUAUCUAUCUUGAAUAUCGUGGAGGUGAGCGGAAUAUGUCAUGUAGCGGUGAAAUGCUUAGAUAUGACAUAGAACACCAAUUGCGAAGGCAGCUUGCUACACGAAUAUUGACUCUGAGGCACGAAAGCGUGGGGAUCAAACAGGAUUAGAAACCCUUGUAGUCC